UAUUUUACAACCAUCAGUUUUCAUCAUCGACUUAGAACUCUCUAAUUCUUGGUGAUCUUUUUGGCUAUAAAAUUAGAAAGGAAAAACUCUCUAAUUCUUCACCUCAUACAUACAUCAAGCGGCCAAAGUCUAAACAGAGAAAGAAAAGUCAGUGGGUCAGAAAAGAUUCUUGGGUUGGGAGGAUCAUCAUAUUUGGAGUGAUCAUGUUUACCAUUUCAAAGGGAUUUGCUGUUAUAUCUGCAACUAAGAACCUCCAACUACCGUUCAUAGAAGAUAUAUUUGCAUCAGGGCGCACAAGAUUUUUGGAAUGGGUGGUUUCGGAAAAUCAGGUGAUCGACAGCCCUUCAACCAUUGAAUCAACAUAUUGAAGACCAAUUUCUGCUGCCUCUCUUUAGAAGAAAAUGAUGGAAGAUUAUGAGAAGGCCAAGCAAGAAUUGGCAGAGAGUUCAGGAAUUGAACUAGAUCAUAUCACGGUCUCUAAACAACAGCAAUUAGAGAUCAUGGCUGCAGAACUUGGGGUUGCAAGGGGAAGAAGGAUACGAGGCUUGGGCUCUAAUCUGCGAGUGGAGAGUUCACGUGAUCGAACUACUGCUACUUCCUCUUUGGCUACAGAGCAAAAGGUGGAGGAGCUUCAGGGCACAGUUGGUGAGUUAAAGGGCACAGUAAGUGAGCUUCAGGGCACAGUUGGUAAACUUUUGGGUGUUAUUGAAUGGAUGCGAACCCAUGUGGGUGCUUUGCCCCCAGAUAUGGAUAUGGGUGUUCCUCCUCAGCAUGUUGGUGAUCCAACCUAUGGUGAUGAUGAUGAUGAUGAUGACAAUAUUAGUUUGGGUCACUAGUUUUUGGUUUUACUGAAUUGUCUUGAUGAUAUAGGCUUUGGCUAGUUUUUGGUUUUACUGAAUUGCCUUGAUGAUAUAUAUCCUCUUGUACAUGUUGAACUUCUAAAACUUUUAUUAAUGCCAGUCAAUUUUUGUUA